UACGGAGGGUGCGAGCGUUGUCCGGAAUCACUGGGCGUAAAGGGCGCGUAGGUGGCGGAGCAAGUCAACGGUGAAAACUCGAGGCUCAACCUCGAGACGCCGAUGGAAACCAUCAGACUAGAGUCCGGAAGAGGAGAGUGGAAUUCCUGGUGUAGCGGUGAAAUGCGCAGAUAUCAGGAAGAACACCCGUGGCUAAGGCGGCUCUCUAGUACGGUACUGACGCUGAGACGCGAAAGCGUGGGGAGCGAACAGG
rnacentral:rRNA from 1 species